rnacentral:rRNA from 1 species
GAUCAUGGCUCAGGACGAACGCUGGCGGCGCGCCUAACACAUGCAAGUCGAACGGAAUCAAGAGGAGCUUGCUUUUCUUGAUUUAGUGGCGAACGGGUGAGUAACGCGUGAGUAACCUGCCCUGGAGUGGGGGACAACAGUUGGAAACGACUGCUAAUACCGCAUAAGCCCACGGUACCGCAUGGUACUGAGGGAAAAGGAUUUAUUCGCUUCAGGAUGGACUCGCGUCCAAUUAGCUAGUUGGUGAGG